ACCUCUCUAACCUAAUGGUUAGAGAGUCGGACUUGUAACCCUAAGGUGAACCUGAAGGUCGUGGGUUCGAGUCUCAGGUCUGGUA